AAAUCACCUCGUUCCAACUCCUGCACCAGGCUGUGGCCGCGGUAUGUCAUAAUGGUUCAUUAAUGACUAUACAUUAAAAACUAAAAAAAUACAAAUAUAAACCUUAUUGUCCUAAGCUUUAUUACUCCCAACAAACAUACAUUUUUAUAUCUCUGGACCUUCUUAUCACAUACUUGAGUAAUAGGAUUCAGAGAGUCGAGAUUAACGGAAAAGUUUUCUCCGGGUCUGUUGUUAAGAUAAUGAUGAAAAUGUUAGACAUGUGAAAACCAGCGUGCUAAUCAAGGGCGAGGAGUUAGGCCCUGUAGAUUCAACUGUCCUUUUAGGUAUAACCAUACACGCUAAGCUACAGUGGGCCCCACACGUAGAUAAGUUGUCGAAAAGACUGCAGUACAUGACGUUCAAAAUAUUAAUAUUUAUAAUCUUUCCUUUUAACAUAAAACAUUAAUUUAUUUAAAAAUAUAUUGAUAUACAUAACAUAAACAUUAGAAGUAAAAACAAAUAUGUGGUUCCCACUACUGGCCUUAAGAAAAUAAGCGGUUCGUUUAGAUGUCAAUGCAUACGCUAUUACAAUAAAGUUCCCAGCCACAUUCAAAGUUAGACGUUAAAUGAAUUUAAAAAUGAUAUUAAAGAAAAUAUUUAGAGUUCAGCAUUUUAUAAAAUAAAAGACUAUUUAGAUGAUAGUCAGGGAAUGACCACACAGGUCAUGUUGACGUCUUUGCAACAUAUAGUUACAUGUUUAUUCAAUUUGACAUAUAUAUAAAUUAUACUAGAUAUUAUUAUAUAAAAUAUAAUAAUACUUAUACAUAAUAUAUUACAUAAAUAUAUGUAGUACAGU